CUGGGUCUGACAUAUAGAGGAUCGCCGGAGAGAUUCGGUUUGCCUUGUGCCUUCUAUACAGGUGGUGCAUGGCUGUCGUCAGCUCGUGUCGUGAGAUGUUGGGUUAAGUCCCGCAACGAGCGCAACCCUUGUCUCAUGUUGCCAGCACGUAAUGGUGGGGACUCGUGAGAGACUGCCGGGGUCAACUCGGAGGAAGGUGGGGAUGACGUCAAGUCAUCAUGCCCCUUAUGUCCAGGGCUUCACACAUGCUACAAUGGCGCGUACAGAGGGCUGCGAUACCGCGAGGUGGAGCGAAUCCCUUAAAGCGCGUCUCAGUUCGGAUUGGGGUCUGCAACUCGACCCCAUGAAGUCUGAGUCGCUAGUAAUCAUAAAUCACCAACGCUGCGGUGAAUA
rnacentral:rRNA from 1 species